rnacentral:lncRNA from 1 species
CAUUCCUUGUAUCUCGGAUAUGAAAUUUUUAACGGGUUACUAAGUUUCUCAAUUAUGAUUCAAAUCAUUAUACUAUAACCUUUUUGAUUUCGCUUAAAUCUUGAGAAAAUCUUCUAUAAUAAUGUUUUCAUGCAUGACGGUUGUGAUCUUUAAUAAUUGUCUAUUUUGUUACUCGAAGUACAUGUUUCGACUGCGUGUACCUGUUUCGAAGUCCAUGUACCAGUCUUGAAGUCCAUGUACCAGUCUUUUUUGUUAAAUUUUAUUUCCAUUUUUACUCCAAAAAGAUCUGAUGAAAAGGACAUUAUUAUUUUGACGAUUCAUGUUACAUGCUUUUUUUUGGCGUAUUGGUUCC